AAUUGACAAUACUGCAGAAAAACCGAAGCCCUGGACAGCGUGCUUGGCUGCAAACCUCAUUGGUUCUGGAUGCAUCCGUGGAGCACCAAGCUGCAUCGAGUGCUGCCAAGUUAGCGUCGCGCGUAAGAAACUUCCAGUGAAGCUGGCCAAAUCCUUAUGGAUACUACAGCCUGCUGCCUCUGGGAGUGAAAAUCAGUAGGCACCUGAGCAUUUUCCCUGUGUC